rnacentral:rRNA from 1 species
GGGUCAGUAGGUUGGUCGUGCCACCGGUACGUACUGGUCUCACUGAUUCCUCCUUCCUGAAGAACCGUAAUGCCAUUAAUUUGGUGUUGCGGGGAAACAGGACUGUUACUUUGAAAAAAUUAGAGUGUUUAAAGCAAGCUAACGCUUGAAUACAUUAGCAAGGAAUAAUGAAAUAGGACGAUCGAUCCUAUUUUGUUGGUCCCUAGGAUUGACGUA